GGAAUCUAAAGCAAAACCUCUUCUCACAUGUUCCACAUUAGUGUCUUGACAGAAGCAGGUAAGGUGAGGUUCGAGUUUAUAAUAUUCAGCGAGAGGAAAUCGCGAAGGAUCUGCAGAUUCCAAGCACCUUGCUGAUCCCCGAAAUCCUGGACCGAUUACAAACCUGUGUUGAGAUUAAUUGCAGUCAGACUAUAUCUCUUUAGAGGACCAGCACGAGAAAUCCAAUCAUCUCGCCAAAAAUUAAUAUUUCAAUCAUUGGCCAUGCCCAGUUCCAAAUUACUUUGGACUUGAUUCCAUUUACUACACAGUUACACAUUAAGGCUCUGGACAAUUGAUAUCAAUCAAUUAACUUGCUAAUAAUUCACAAUCACAAAGACAAAUCUUUCAAUGUUGUAGCUUACAAUGGAAGGAAAAAAAAACUGUUGUAAAACAUACAAAAUAUGUACAAAUGGCAGUGUUGGAACUGAAACAUUAGAGGACAUGUGAAAUCAAUGUUCUAUUGACACACUAUAAAUACCAUCAUAAGUUCCUGAAAUACCAAAUCUACAAUGCCUUAGACCAGAUUAAGCAUGCAAAGUUGAGAGGUGAAAUCGCAUUCAAUGUAUACAAAUCAACAUCAAAGGAACACAAAACAAAACAAUACAGUACAAUACAAUACAAGAAUACAAAUUAAAGUAGUUGUUCUUCACAUUAGAUAUUAUCAAAGAUAAUCCUCUCACUGUUUGGUGUUCAAGCAUUGGAAAAAGAAAAAAAGUAAUUUACUAUUAUAUAUCAUUACCCCACUUAGUGGGAUAAGGUUUGGUUGUUGUUGUUGUUGUACUAUUAUAUAUCAUUUUGGAAGGUAAACAAAAAAACAAAAACAGAUGUGGAACUAAUAUGACUUAUAUUCAUAUAAACUAUUGAACUGAAACUUACAGUGUAAGAGUGAAGAAAAAUAAGGGAUUUUCAUCACAAAACCACUCCCCUCUCCCUCUUCAACAUUUCCCUUGAAUUAAACACAAGAGAAAUUAACAUUUAUGUAGUUUUGCAAAGAUCAAACUACUUUUAUUUACACUUUUGAUGAUCAAAUGGGCAAUCAUUUUGUCUUUCACUUGCAAAUCAAAUGCAGACACUGGAAGUGCGAGAUUCAAGAGUUGAUACCGUUUGAGCAGGAAAAGGAGUCAUCAUCAAUAAUAGUGAAGAAAAAUGUAACAUGAAAUGCCGGUUGCUACACAUCGUAAUAAAAUAGGAACAUUGGUGUAGUACAAAUAUAAAAUCAACCAACAAAAACAAUGGCAACUCCAU
rnacentral:lncRNA from 1 species